UCGCUGCUUGCGCAGGCAGUCUCGCUAGAGUCCCCGGCAGCACCUGUGCACGGACUCCGAAGAGGAACCGAUGUUUCCACCGGCUUUCCGGUAUAUGUCAAACCCAGGUAAGGUUCUUCGCGUUGCAUCGAAUUAAUCCACAUGCUCCGCCGCUUGUGCGGGCCCCCGUCAAUUCCUUUGAGUUUUAGCCUUGCGGCCGUACUCCCCAGGCGGGGCGCUUAAUGCGUUAGCUACGGCACGGAUCCCGUGGAAGGAAACCCACACCUAGCGCCCACCGUUUACGGCGUGGAUUAC
rnacentral:misc_RNA from 1 species